rnacentral:lncRNA from 1 species
AAAAAAAAAAAAAAACACCUAAACUGUUUUUAUCAAAAUAAAAUGCGGCAUCUGAAAAAAAAAUGCAAAAAUUGAAGAUAGCUAUUUUAAAAAAAAAAAAUGUAAACAUAUCAAGGAAGUUUUUCUUUACCUAUAACAAUAAUAAUGUUAUUGUUCCGUUUAGUAAAUAUAAAGGUAAAAGAUUAAGUAGUAGUUUAGCGGUCCAAAAAGCUGAGCAGGAAGUAGAAAAAAAAAAAAAAAAAAAAAAAAAAGAAGGAUCAUUAAAUUUUCAAGAUAAUAUUGAUUUAUUACAAGUAAAUAAUAAAAUUGUUAAAAAAUAUAAAAUAGAUAAUACAUUUUGUUCAUAUAUUACAAAAAAAAAAAAACUAUUUAAUAUAAUACCUUAUGAGACAAAAAUAAAUCAUGAGGAUAUGUUAUAUAAAAAAAGUGAUGGGUGUGAAAAUGCAUAUAUGUAUUCUACUUCAAUAAAACAGUUAAAAUAUAGUGAUCGUAUAAGUAAUGAUUUAUAUGUUAAUUGUGUCUAUAGUUUUGAUUAUAACAACGAGAUAAAUAAUGUACAAACAGAUUAUUCUUCUGAUGGCACAUAUACUACUACUACUACUACUACUACUACUACUACUACUACUACUACUAACAACAACAACAACAACAACAACAGCAGCAGUGACUACAUAAGUAAUAACUAUCAAUCAAUUGUUAAAAAAAAUUUGUUUGACGUGUUAUACAAAAAAUAUAGUUUAGUUUAUUUUUUUACGGACACUAAUCACAUUAAUGAAUUUGAUAAAUACAUAAAAAAUUUUAAAAAUAUUAAACAGGAUUAUAAUAUACAACAUAAUAUAUACAAUGACAAAGAUAAUAUUCUUUAUUUAAGACAAAAUCAUAAAACACCAAUCCAUAUAUUUUAUUGUUAUUUAUCACCUUAUAAUUUUAUUUUAUCAAAUUAUUUUACAAAAAAAAUUGCGUAUAAUUUAAAAAGUAAUUAUUUUCAAAACAAAAAUUUUUUUUAUAUAAAUACGAAAUUAAAAAUGGAUGACCAAAAUACAUUAUUACUAUGGAAAUACAAUAAUAGUAAUUUAAUGUUACCUUCUUUAAUAUUGUCUGACCCUUGUUGUUAUGUUAGGUAUCAUAUUAAAGGGUUAUACACAAAUGAAUCAGCUCAUUACCUUUUUAAUGUUAUUCAAAAUGUUAGAUGAUUUUUUUUUUUUUUUUUUUUUUUUUUUUACUCUUAAAAAAAUAAAUAAAUUAAAUAUAUUGGAAUAGCGUACUGA